AGCGAACGCUGGCGGCAGGCCUAACACAUGCAAGUCGAACGAACUCUUCGGAGUUAGUGGCGGACGGGUGAGUAACACGUGGGAACGUGCCUUUAGGUUCGGAAUAACUCAGGGAAACUUGAGCUAAUACCGGAUGUGCCCUUCGGGGGAAAGAUUUAUCGCCUUUAGAGCGGCCCGCGUCUGAGUAGCUAGUUGGUGAGGUAAAGGCUCACCAAGGCGACGAUCAGUAGCUGGUCUGAGAGGAUGAUCAGCCACAUUGGGACUGAGACACGGCCCAAACUCCUACGGGAGGCAGCAGUGGGGAAUCUUGCGCAAUGGGCGAAAGCCUGACGCAGCCAUGCCGCGUGAAUGAUGAAGGUCUUAGGAUUGUAAAAUUCUUUCACCGGGGACGAUAAUGACGGUACCCGGAGAAGAAGCCCCGGCUAACUUCGUG
rnacentral:rRNA from 1 species